rnacentral:misc_RNA from 1 species
GAUGAAGAACGUAGCGAAAUGCGAUACGUAAUGUGAAUUGCAGAAUUCAGUGAAUCAUCGAAUCUUUGAACGCACAUUGCGCCUGCCAGCACUCUGGCAGGCAUGCCUGUUCGAGAGUCAUUUCAACCAUCAAGCCCUAGGCUUGCGUUGGAGCCCUGCGGCUGCCGCAGGCCCCUAAAAGCAGUGGCGGGCUCGCUAUCACACCGAGUGCAGUAGAUUACUCUUCGCUCAGGGCGUGUGGCGGGUUCCAGCCGUGAAACCCCCUACUUCUCAAGGUUGACCUCGGAUCAGGUAGGAAUACCCGCUGAACUUAAGCAUAUCAAUAAGCGGAGGA